rnacentral:rRNA from 1 species
CAAAGGAGGCGACUCCGGUGACGGAUGGGCAUGCGGCGCAUUAGGUAGUUGGUAGGGUAACGGCCUACCAAGCCGACGAUGCGUAGGGGUUCUGAGAGGAAGGUCCCCCACAUUGGAACUGAGACACGGUCCAAACUCCUACGGGAGGCAGCAGUGAGGAAUAUUGGUCAAUGGCCGGAAGGCUGAACCAGCCAAGUCGCGUGAGGGAAUAAGGCCCUAUGGGUCGUAAACCUCUUUUGUCAGGGAGCAAAGGCGUCCACGUGUGGACGAGAGGAGAGUACCUGAAGAAAAAGCAUCGGCUAACUCCGUGCCAGCAGCCGCGGUAAUACGGAGGAUGCGAGCGUUAUCCGGAUUUAUUGGGUUUAAAGGGUGCGUAGGCGGAGUGUCAAGUCAGCGGUAAAAUUUCGGGGCUCAACCCCGUCGUGCCGUUGAAACUGACACCCUUGAGUGAGUGAGAAGUAAGCGGAAUGCGUGGUGUAGCGGUGAAAUGCAUAGAUAUCACGCAGAACGCCGAUUGCGAAGGCAGCUUACCGGCGCUCAACUGACGCUGAGGCACGAAAGUGCGGGUAUCGAACAGGAUUAGAUACCCUGGUAGUCCGCACAGUAAACGAUGAAUGCUAGAUGUCCGGGGCGAAUGAGC